GAUGAAGAACGUAGCGAAAUGCGAUAAGUAAUGCGAAUUGCAGAAUUCAGUGAAUCAUCGAAUCUUUGAACGCACAUUCCGCCCGCUAGUAUUCUGGCGGGCAUGCCUGUCUGAGCGUCAUUUCAACCCUCGCCCCCGGCUUUUGCUGGGAGCGGUGUUGGGGAUCGGCCGCCCGUCACUGGGAGGCCGGCCCCGAAAUAGAGUGGCGACCACGCCGUGUGCUCCUCUGCGUAGUAGUAAAUCACCUCGCAGGCGGACAGCGGUGCGGCCUGCCGUAAAACCCCCAACUCUUUCUGGUUGACCUCAGAUCAGGUAGGAAUACCCGCUGAACUUAAGCAUAUCAAUAAGCGGAGGA
rnacentral:misc_RNA from 1 species